rnacentral:rRNA from 1 species
AUUGAACGCUGGCGGCAGGCUUAACACAUGCAAGUCGAACGAGUGGCGGACGGGUGAGUCAUGCUUGGGAAACUAGCUUAUGGAGGGGGAUAACUACGGGCAACGGUCGCUAAUACCGCGUACCAUAGGAUGAGCCCACGUGGGAUUAGGUAGUUGGUGAGGUAACGGCUCACAAAGCCGACGGUCACUAGCUGGUCUUAGAGGAUGACCAGCCACUCUGGGACUUAGACACGGCCCAGAAUCCGACGGGAGGCAGCAGUGGGGAAGAUUGCGCAAUGGGGGCAACCUGACGCAGCCAUGCCGCGUGAAUGAAGAAGGCCUUCGGGUUGUAAAGUUCUGUCGGUAUCGAGGCGUGAACUACAGAAGAAGCACCGGCUAACUUCGUGCCAGCAGCCGCGGUAAUUC